rnacentral:rRNA from 2 species
ACUGAUUGAUGGUGCUUGCACCUGAUUGACGAUGGAUCACCAGUGAGUGGCGGACGGGUGAGUAACACGUAGGUAACCUGCCCCGGAGCGGGGGAUAACAUUUGGAAACAGAUGCUAAUACCGCAUAACAACAAAAGCCACAUGGCUUUUGUUUGAAAGAUGGCUUUGGCUAUCACUCUGGGAUGGACCUGCGGUGCAUUAGCUAGUUGGUAAGGUAACGGCUUACCAAGGCGAUGAUGCAUAGCCGAGUUGAGAGACUGAUCGGCCACAAUGGAACUGAGACACGGUCCAUACUCCUACGGGAGGCAGCAGUAGGGAAUCUUCCACAAUGGGCGCAAGCCUGAUGGAGCAACACCGCGUGAGUGAAGAAGGGUUUCGGCUCGUAAAGCUCUGUUGUUGGAGAAGAACGUGCG